rnacentral:tRNA from 2 species
AAGGGUGUGGCAGAACGGUUAAUGCGCUUGUUUUGGGAACAAGAGAUAAUGGGUUCAACUCCCAUCACCCUGA